GUCUGCAUAGCUUAGGUGGUAGAGCAUAGGACUGAAAAUCCUUAUGUCACCAUUAGUAAAAUUAAGUAGAUG
rnacentral:tRNA from 1 species